rnacentral:rRNA from 1 species
AUGCAGCCCCUCCACGCCGUUCAACUCAUGCAGCCAGCUGGCUCAAAGCCAAUAGUACUGCACGCCGGACCCGGAGGAGGACUUCGGGGAGGGGUACAAGGGGAAGCAGGUGGUGGUGGAGAACCUGCGGCAGCUGUGCGUGCACCGGGUGGCCAACGAGAGCGGGCGGCCGUGGGCGUGGUGGGACUUCGCCAUGGACUACAAGCCGCGGUGCUCCAUGAAGGAGAAGAAGUACAGCAAGGCGCGCACCGAGGAGGUGGUGGCCUCGCUCGGGCUAUCGCUGGAGAAGGUGCUGGCGUGCAUGGGCGACCCCGACGCCGACGCCGACAACGCCGUGCUGUCCAAGGAGUAGGAGGACUAGAUCGGGCGCGGGUCGCACGGGACAUCACCAUCCUGCCCAUGCUCGUCAUCAACGAUGUCCAGUACAGAGGGAAGCUGGAGAGGACGGCGGUGCUCAAGGCCGUGUGCGCCGGCUUCAAGGAGGGGACCGAGCCUCAAGUCUGCCUGAGCCAUGACAUGGAGACGAACGAGUGCCUGCACCGGAACGGCGGGUGCUGGCGGGACGAGGCGAUGAACGUGACGGCGUGCAGGGACACGUACCGGGGCAGGGUGUGCGAGUGCCAUGUGGUGAAUAGCGUCUGCUAUGGCGGCGACGGGUACACCCACUACAAAGGUCGACUGCGCCGCCACACGAAGUUCACAGGCCAUAGCUGCGGACGGACGAAAUUCCAACUGUACCGCAACCCCUCAAGAUCCACAGUGGUCAAAGAUGGUGCUCCACAGUUGUUCGGUGUAAUGCCCAAGGAGCAAACAAUGUCUCUCUCACUUUUGUUUUUCGAAAGACCUACCUAUCAUCUUGCCGCUGUUGCGUUAGAGUGGCUCCAUCUGCAGAUGGGGGAGGUCUCGACCUGCAGCUGGGAGAAGUCUCGACCUGCACCUGGUCACGCGCGCCACUGCCACUUAGGUCCACCACCUACAGCCGGCGCCGCAGUGCCUCGACCGUUCAACUAUGCCACCUCAGCAGUUCAAUAUAUAUUGGAGAAGAAGAAAAAACAAUAG